CCUACGGGGGGCAGCAGUGGGGAAUUUUGCGCCAUGCUCGUACGAGUGACGCAGCGACGCCGCGUGAAUGACGAAGGCCUUCGGGUCGUAAAGUUCUUUCGACAGGGAAGAAAAUGCCUAUAAGUAACUGUGUAUGUAUUGACGGUACCUGUAUAAGCAGCCCCGGCUAACUCCUAGCCAGCAGCCGCGGUAAUACGGAGGGGGCGAGCGUUGUUCGGAAGGACUGGGCGUAAAGAGCACGUAGGCGGUGUUGUAAGUCAUUAGUCAAAGACUAGAGCUCAACUUUAGUAAGGCUAGUGAUACUAUAAUACUAUAGUAUCAGAGAGGAUUGCAGAAUUCGUGGGGUAGCGGUGAAAUGCGUAGAUAUCAGGAGGAAUACCGUUAGCGAAGGCGGCAAUCUGGCUGGAAACUGACGCUGAGGUGCGAAAGCGUGGGUAGCAAACAGGAUUAGAUACCCCAGUAGUC
rnacentral:rRNA from 1 species